UCCAGUUAGUUCCUCAUGUGAUCAGUGCGUCCCUGCACAUAGGGAAGAAAUGAUCAUGGAAAUGAGGGAUGAAGAUGUCUUUGGGUUGAUCUCUCUUGGAGACAUGUAGGUGUAAAGUCAGUGGUGCUAUCUGAUCUAUUUUCAUCAGAUAUGUUCAUAAUAGGAGAGCAGGCUCCUUAUUUGUAGACUCAGGUUUAAGCUCAACGCGAACAACACAAAGAAACAACCAAAGCUUCUACUCUGACCAACAACAGGGAAGACUCAAGGUAUGGGUGGUUCCGCCUUUAAAAAAAUCUUUUUUUGGAAAAAGAAGAAGUCCCCUUUGAAGAGAGCCAUGAAUCAACUGAAGGGGGCGCUACCCAAUAAGAAACGCAAGCAGCUGAAGAAGCAACUAGAUAAACUGAGUCUGGACAAACGGAGGAGGGAAAAACAUUCCAAGAAGAGAUUCUCACUGACAACAGACAAGAAAGUGCCGAUAUCACUGAAAAUACUUUCUCUUGGUAACAUACGGAAGGAGUCCAUUCAAAAUGCUUCACUGGAAGGGAAGGAGAAGGACAAGGGCGGGCUGGAAAGAGUCGGAGAGCAGAUAAAAAGGAAAUUUUCUCAAGAACACAAAAAAGGGCUUGGCACUCAACCAGAGCCUGUUCCUCCCUCUGUGAACCUGACGGAAGAAAAUGAGGCAAAAGUGUCCAAGAAGAAGUUCAGUGAUAUCAUGAGAUCCCUUCGUCCAACUGGAUCCAAAGCAAACGGACAACGACCUUGAAUUUGGCAGAAAGACUGAAGAAAACAUGUCAGCAAGGAGAGUGAGAAAGAUACACAAAGGGUUUUUUUAAUGGCAUCACAGAGUGAAUGAGAGUAGAUGAUCACAGCGAGAUACAAAACAUGAUGUUACAUCCAAAAAGUUCCCUCCCAUUAACAUUUUGAUGUCAGUUUUACUUGAUAUUUACAACAAAUCAGCCAAAACUUCAUGUUUCUUGUUCAGUUAGUCAUGCUUCAUAAAAAGAUAAUUUGUACACAUCAUUCUAGUAGAAAACGACAAACAUGAGCUCCUGUUCUGUUUAUUUGCCUCUGAUGGCAAAUCUGCUCACCUGCAAUACAUACUGUAAAGAUUAUCUACUGUCAGAAUGCGAUCAUAAAUAAAGUUGUACAUCACAAACUA